rnacentral:rRNA from 1 species
GAUGAACGCUGGCGGCGUGCCUCAAACAUGCAAGUCGAGCGAGGCUAUGAGUUACCGCAAGGUAAGGCAUAGCCUAGCGGCGAACGGGUGAGUAACACGUGGGUAACCUACCUGGAAGACAGGGAUAACGAUUCGAAAGGGUCGCUAAUACCUGAUAAUAUCCAUCUGCCGGAUGGCGGAGGGAAGAAAGGGGAAACCCGCUUUCAGAUGGGCCCGCGUCCCAUCAGCUAGUUGGUAAGGUAAAGGCUUACCAAGGCGACGACGGGUAGCCGGUCUGAGAGGAUGUACGGCCACACUGGGACUGAGAUACGGCCCAGACUCCUACGGGAGGCAGCAGUUGGGAAUCUUAGGCAAUGGACGAAAGUCUGACCUAGCGACGCCGCGUGAGGGAAGAAGGCCUCGGGUUGUAACUCUGUCAUGGGGAGAAGGAAGUGACGGUACCCAACGAGGAAGCCCUCGCUAACUACGUGCCAGCAGCCGCGGUAAGUCACGAGAGUA